UUGUUGUUGGUUUAUAAAAUAAAAUGACAAUAUCAAUAGGUUUGGUCGGGUUUAAAAACCCCACGGAUUCACGUGGUUGGGUACUAUAGAAACAAACCCGUACCCAUGAACCUAUCGGCCAUAGAUUUAUGCUCAUUAAUAAACCUAUGGGUAUGAAAAUUGACAUAAACCCGUACCCUAAUAGGUAAAAAAACAUUGGAUUUCGAUUACCCAUUGUCAUUUCUAGUCAAACGUAUCCAACCACUAAAUCAGAUAACAAUUUGAAUAGUACAGUACAGUGAGCACAAGUGGCAAUAGGAGGACAAUAAUCACGCUGAAUAAGUAGGCCCCACAUCACAGUCCUGCUGGCAACUGCACAUGGUUUUAUCAUUUUAUUCUUAAAAUUGUUUUUAUGGACAUUAUCUCGAUCACGUUCCUGCCACAGAAGCUCAUCAAGCAUCGGACGGCCUGUAGUUGUAGACGUGAAAGCUGGCAUGUGGGGCCACGGCGUCGAGGAAGAUCCUGGCCGUCGCCUCCUGGGCCACCGACGCCUGCUCCUUCUCCACGAGCGCCGCCGCGACCACGUCCCCGGCGGAGCAGCCUCCGGCUGCCACCAUCGCAAUGAUGGCCGCCUGGACGGGACCCAGCGUCGGGUUGUAGGCCGCGGACUCCAGGCAGCCGCCGGCAUAGAUCCUCCCGUCGCCGUCUGCCACCGCGAACCCCGACGGACACUUGCUGUACGGCGCGUGCGCCGCCCGCGCCGCCGCCUCCGCGGCCUGCCUCAGGCGCGCGUCCAGGUCGCUGCGGGCGAGGCCAUUGGCGACGGGAUCACCCAGGGCGUUGUCGUGAGCCUCGAGGACGAGGGGCACAUCUCCGGGGAGGAGAUCGUGGGGCCCGAAGGGGCGGAGGAGGAGGGACGCCACCGUGCGCCACUCGGGUGCGCAUCCCUCAGCGGCGUCGCUGGUCACGAGGAUUCGGAUGCUGGCGGCGCCGCGGAUCUCCUGCAGGAACUGGCGGCAGUGGCCGCAGGGCAUGUGGGAGACGGCGACGGCGCGCAGCUCGGGCUCCCCCGCGGCGGCCGCGUUGGCGACGAGGAACUGCUCGGCGUGGACGGAGUGGCACAGCGGGAGGCCGCGGAACUCGAGGUUUACGCCGACGUAGACGCGGCCGCUGGCGCCCAGCCCCACGGCGCCCACGGGGAACCCCGAGAUCGGGACCUGCGCGCGCUUCCUCGCGGACGGGACCAGGAGCGGCAGCAGGUCCUGGACGGUCGCUACGCCGGCGGCCGCCGCGGCGCGCUCGGCGUCCUCCGCGCCCAUAACGAACCCCGUCAGCUCCACCGACGUGGCGGCGGCGGCGGCGGCGGCCUCCGGCUUUGGCGCCACCACCUGCUCCUCCCCCAUCGCUCAGAUCCAACUGUAACUAGGCUACCAGUACUCUUAAUCGCGUUUAGUCUCCGAACUCGUAACACGGAUGUGCUUUGGAUGUUCCUUGGAGCUUGGAAGAGGCCAGCACCCAGGACCACGCGACCACGAGGGAUGAGAAGAGAGAGGGGGCUCUACUGCCUGUGGUGCGACGCAAUUUAUAAUGGGAAGGAGGAGGGUACGGGGAGUCGGAGACGCAGCAAAGUGUCUCGUUAUUCAUUUCGUGACGGAUUUCCUUUUUCUUUUGCAUUUUGGAAACGAAGAUGGUCACCGCAAAAUUGCAUUCGACGCGUCAGUGCAUAUGGAAAC
rnacentral:misc_RNA from 1 species